AUUAGCUAGUUGGUGGGGUAAAGGCCUACCCAAGGCGACGAUCUUGUAGCGGGUCUGAGAGGAUGAUCCGCCACACUGGGACUGAGACACGGCCCAGACUCCUACGGGAGGCAGCAGUGGGGAAUAUUGGACAAUGGGCGCAAGCCUGAUCCAGCCAUGCCGCGUGUGUGAAGAAGGCCUUAUGGUUGUAAAGCACUUUAAGCGAGGAGGAGGCUACUUUAGUUAAUACCUAGAGAUAGUGGACGUUACUCGCAGAAUAAGCACCGGCUAACUCUGUGCCAGCAGCCGCGGUAAUACAGAGGGUGCAAGCGUUAAUCGGAUUUACUGGGCGUAAAGCGCGCGUAGGCGGCUAAUUAAGUCAAAUGUGAAAUCCCCGAGCUUAACUUGGGAAUUGCAUUCGAUACUGGUUAGCUAGAGUGUGGGAGAGGAUGGUAGAAUUCCAGGUGUAGCGGUGAAAUGCGUAGAGAUCUGGAGGAAUACCGAUGGCGAAGGCAGCCAUCUGGCCUAACACUGACGCUGAGGUGCGAAAGCAUGGGGAGCAAACAGGAUUAGAUACCCUGGUAGUCCAUGCCGUAAACGAUGUCUACUAGCCGUUGGGGCCUUUGAGGCUUUAGUGGCGCAGCUAACGCGAUAAGUAGACCGCCUGGGGAGUACGGUCGCAAGACUAAAACUCAAAUGAAUUGACGGGGGCCCGCACAAGCGGUGGAGCAUGUGGUUUAAUUCGAUGCAACGCGAAGAACCUUACCUGGCCUUGACAUAGUAAGAACUUUCCAGAGAUGGAUUGGUGCCUUCGGGAACUUACAUACAGGUGCUGCAUGGCUGUCGUCAGCUCGUGUCGUGAGAUGUUGGGUUAAGUCCCGCAACGAGCGCAACCCUUUUCCUUAUUUGCCAGCGAGUAAUGUCGGGAACUUUAAGGAUACUGCCAGUGACAAACUGGAGGAAGGCGGGGACGACGUCAAGUCAUCAUGGCCCUUACGGCCAGGGCUACACACGUGCUACAAUGGUCGGUACAAAGGGUUGCUACCUAGCGAUAGGAUGCUAAUCUCAAAAAGCCGAUCGUAGUCCGGAUUGGAGUCUGCAACUCGACUCCAUGAAGUCGGAAUCGCUAGUAAUCG
rnacentral:rRNA from 1 species